rnacentral:rRNA from 1 species
CAGUAAGGGCGACUGAAAAGGGAUCAGCCCAGCGCAUAACCUCGCGGUCCUCUGCGGCUGUCGAGGGGUGUUGCGUACAGGUGGAGCCGUACCGUCCGCGCCUCCCACCGCCUAAGUCCUUGCUUAAAAGCAGCCCAGUGCAGGGUGAAAGGCCCGUGUGGCGGCGCCCGUAAAAGGGUUCAAGGCGGCGUGGGCGGAGGGCUCUUACCGGAGAGUCGGGUUGCUUAGUACUGCAGCCCAAAGUAGGUGGUAAACUCCAUCUAAGGCUAAAUAUGACCACGAGUCCGAUAGAGUACAAGUACCGUGAGGGAAAGUUGAAAAGCACUCUGAAGAGAGAGUCAAGAGGACGUGAAACCACUGGUAGCGCAAACGGGUGGAACCGUGAAGGUCGAACGAAGAGGGAGACUCAGCCUGCGGCUUCCGGAGGCGGCCGUUGCCCUCCCUUCCCCUACGUCGGGCUGGGACAUGGCGGCGCGUCGGGCACCGGGACCGCGGGUUUACUUCUCCCCUUUCAGUAGCACGUCGCGAGCAGCCGGGCUAUCCGCCGAUGGCCGCGCACGGAUUGGUAGCCGGGGCCCCUCACGGGGCCGCGGCGAAGACCGCGCCGGUUCUGAGGUGGUCGUCUGGCAUACACUGCGAGGAGGCUCCCCCGAGGAGACUCUCGCGACGGUGAAUCGGUCUCCCACCUGACCCGUCUUGAAACACGGACCAAGGAGUCCAACAGAGGUGCGAGUCGAAGGGUGACACUCUAGACCCGGAGGCGCAAUGAAAGUAAGCCACCAGAUGGCUGGCCGAUCCCCGGCCGGCGGUCCGCGCGCGUCGUGGGCGGUGUCGUCCCGGGGGAAACCCCGGGCGCGCCGUGGCCCGGCGCGGCGGCCGACGGCAGGCGAGGGUGCCCGCCACGGCGGCCCCACGUCUGAGCCUUGACUGUGCAGGGGCGCAGGCCGAGGACUUGCCGCCAGGCGGCCCGGGCCCGUUGCGGCCUCGCGCCGCGCGAGGUCCGGUGUCCGCCGGCAAGUACCUGGGAGCACCCACGUUGGGACCCGAAAGAUGGUGAACUAUGCCUGGUGAGGACGAAGCCAGAGGAAACUCUGGUGGAGGUCCGAAGCAGUUCUGACGUGCAAAUCGAUUGGCAGAACUGGGUAUAGGGGCGAAAGACUAAUCGAACCAUCUAGUAGCUGGUUCCCUCCGAAGUUUCCCUCAGGAUAGCUGGCCUUCGGAGUUGAAACGAGUUUCAUCCGGUAAAGCGAAUGAUUAGAGGCCUUGGGGGUGCAAUGCUUUCAACCUAUUCUCAAACUUUAAAUGGGUGAGACCUGGAGCUUUCUCAAUGAAUGAAGCUCCCAGACUUUCAGAAUCGGAAGGCCUAGUGGGCCACUUUUGGUAAGCAGAACUGGCGCUGUGGGAUUCACCAAACGCACGAGUUAAGGGGCCUAAACGGACGCUAAUUUAGACACUACGAAAAGGUGUUGGUUGCUAUAGACAGCAGGUCGGUGGCCAUGGAAGUCGGAAUCCGCUAAGGAGUGUGUAACAACUCACCUGCCGAAGCAACUAGCCCUUAAAAUGGUAUGGCGCUAAAGCGUUCUCCCGAUACUCGGCCGCUGGGCCAGUAUGGGGCCCGGUCGCGGACUCCGGCGGCCGGGCCUCGAAGGCCCAGCGAGUAGGAGGGUCGCCGCGGUGCGCGUUGAAGGGAUCUCGGCGUAGGCCGACCUGGAGCCGCCGCGGGCGCAGAUCUUGGUGGUAGUAGCAAAUAAUCAAGAGAGAACCUCGUUGACUGAGGUGGAGAAGGGUUCCAUGUCAACAUCAGUUGAACAUGGGUGAGUCAGACCUAAGCCCAAGGAUAAACUUCCUGUGUCCCAUGUGUUCCGCAGGCGAGCUUUACAACCACUUCUCGAGCCACUGCAUGAGCGUUGGGUGAUGCCGGCGACCCUCGUGGGUCGUCAGGAGGCGUGAACAGCGGUUAGUGUCGGCAGGGCGCCGGGCUAAUCGGAGAUCGACCUGUGGCGAAAAUUCCGGCGAGCUCGGUAGUCCUACGGAGAGAAAAUUCCGGCGAGAGAUCGGUAGUCCACGGAGAAAAUUCCGGCGAGAUCGGUAGUUCACGGCGAAAAUUCCGGCGAGAUCGGUAGUCCACCACGAAAAUUCCGGCCCAGAUCGGUAGUUCAAGGUGGAUAUUCCGGCGGGCUCGGUAGUUCAAGGUGAAUAUUCCGGCACGGAUCGGUAGUUCGAGGUGGAAAUUCCGGCGAGAGAUCGGUAGUUCUCAAGGUAGGAAAUUCCGGCGAGAUCGGUAGUUCGCUGCUAAAUUAAAGCUUCGACCCGGUUCUAUUAACUAAGUCCGAGCCGUCACGACCACGUCUCGCGUUUGAGCGUUGAGCGUUGAGCUAGAGCAGCCUCUGUGUCUGUGCACACAACUGUGCUGCACGGUGCAUGCA